UCGAGCGAGAAGCCCGCAAGGGUGAGUAAAGCGGCGCACGGGUGAGUAACACGUGGGUAAUCUUCCUUGGAGCCCGGAAUAACUCCCCGAAAGGGGUGCUAAUGCCGGAUGAGACCACGGGAUCUCCGGAUCCUGAGGGAAAAGGCGGCCUCUGUACACAAGCUGUCACUCCAAGAUGAGCCCGCGGCCCAUCAGCUAGUUGGCGGGGUAAUGGCCCACCAAGGCAUCGACGGGUAGCUGGUCUGAGAGGACGAUCAGCCACACUGGAACUGAGACACGGUCCAGACUCCUACGGGAGGCAGCAGUGGGGAAUUUUGCGCAAUGGGCGAAAGCCUGACGCAGCAACGCCGCGUGUGUGAUGAAGGUCUUCGGAUCGUAAAGCACUGUCGGGAGGGACGAAUAAGGCGGCGGCUAAUAUCCGCAGCCGAUGACGGUACCUCCAAAGGAAGCACCGGCUAACUCUGUGCCAGCAGCCGCGGUAAUACAGAGGGUGCAAGCGUUGUUCGGAAUUAUUGGGCGUAAAGCGCGUGUAGGCGGCCUUGCAAGUUGGGUGUGAAA
rnacentral:rRNA from 1 species